UACGGAGGAUCCAAGCGUUAUCCGGAUUUAUUGGGUUUAAAGGGUGCGUAGGCGGCGCGCUAGGUCAGUGGUGAAAGACGGUGGCUCAACCAUCGCAGUGCCGUUGAUACUGGCGCGCUUGAAUUCGGAUGAGGUAGGCGGAAUGUGGCAAGUAGCGGUGAAAUGCAUAGAUAUGUCACAGAACACCAAUUGCGAAGGCAGCUUACUAAGGUGUCAAUGACGCUGAGGCACGAAAGCGUGGGGAUCAAACAGGAUUAGAAACCCUGGUAGU
rnacentral:rRNA from 1 species